UAUUUGCAUCCGUAUUGAGGUUGUUGUUUUGUUUUUUCAAAACGACAUUAAAAGGGAAUUAGGUAAAAAUUUUGAGUUUUGAAUAGCGACGGUUUAGAUUGUAACACAUCUGAGGUCGCGGCUUUAAAAUCUAAAAUAAUAAAUCCUAAGCUGUACCCGCAACUGUAAGCUAUUUAGCUUGUUGUUAUCUACAAAACCACUGUUCGCCAAGGGGAAUGGGAAGGUAAACAACAAGACGCAAGCCAGGAGACCUGCCUAUUACAUCGAGUAUCA
rnacentral:ncRNA from 1 species